GUACCACUACCACAAAAAGGGGGUUGGGCAGCAGCUAUGGGGUAGCGGUUCAAUGUUAGUGCUGCCCAAGUGUUAUAAAAAAAAAAAUUACAUAAAAGCAACAAUUUUUAAAAUUAAAAAAAAUAUAAAAACUCUAUCUUAUAUGGAACCGCUACCCAAGUUGCAAUUCUGGUUGUUAGGGAGCUGUUAAUUGAACCACUACCCAAGUUAAUAUAUUUUUCCCUAAAUUAAAUUUCACAAAACCCUAACCGUGAAUCCCUUUUCUCUUCCCUCACUCGACUGCACGCUGCAAACCUUGCUCCCUUGUAACCUCUCCCCAUCUGAACCACAAUCCUCCGCUGCUAGUCCACUUUUCUCAACCCUUGCUCGAUGCCGUAACUCUUCCUUGCUGUUGUAACUGUCGCACAUUCUGCAGGUGUUUCCUUCACUUCCGCCAGUGCUCGACGCUCGACACAAGCUCGACAGUCCGCCGGCAGCGCACCCACCACACCAGAGGCUCCCCUUCAACGACUCUUCCUCUGUGAUAAGUUCAUGCUCGAAGACUACAAUCCUUGAAGGCACUUACAUAUUCUCCUUCAACCAACUCUGAAAUUUUCUCCAGAUUGUAUAAAAUUGUAUUUGGGAUACUAGAGAAGGUUCGUGCUUUCCUACUAGAGAAGGUUGGUGAUACUCCACAAAAGAAAAAGAAAGGCAUACUUGGUGCUAAAGGUGUGAUAAAGAAGUAAGAUCAUGGCUUUGAAGCUUUCUUUCUUUUAUCCUUAUAUACAUGUUUCCUACUGGUUUUGUCUCUCCUCUUAUUUCUUUUUUAGUGUUUUUUUUUUGAAAGAAAGAAUUGUAUAUUGAAGAAAACUUGUUAACACUCCUGAUAUUCGAGAGAUCUAAGCCUUUGCUACUGUGAAGGAAGACUAAUUGCAAGGAAUGAAAGGUGAUUGAUUUUU